GUGGGGAAUCUUCCGCAAUGGACGAAAGUCUGACGGAGCAACGCCGCGUGAGUGAAGAAGGUUUUCGGAUCGUAAAGCUCUUUCGUUAGGGACGAACGUGCUCUUUGUGAAUAAUGAGGAGUAAUGACGGUACCUAAAUAAGAAGCCACGGCUAACUACGUGCCAGCAGCCGCGGUAAUACGUAGGUGGCAAGCGUUGUCCGGAAUUAUUGGGCGUAAAGCGCGCGCAGGCGGGAUAUCAAGUCUGUCUUAAAAGUGCGAGGCUCAACCUCGUGAGGGGACAGAAACUGGUAUUCUUGAGUGUCGGAGAGGAAAGUGGAAUUCCAAGUGUAGCGGUGAAAUGCGUAGAGAUUUGGAAGAACACCAGUGGCGAAGGCGACUUUCUGGACUGUAACUGACACUGAGGCACGAAAGCGUGGGGAGCAAACAGGAUUAGAAACCCUGGUAGUCC
rnacentral:rRNA from 1 species